GAACGCACCCAUCACUAGUGAGAGAGACGUGUUACACAGAAAGCACCCAUCACUAGUGAGAGAGACGUGUUACACAGAAUGCACCCAUCACUAGUGAGAGAGGCGUGUUACACAGAACGCACCCAUCACUAGUGAGAGAGGCGUGUUACACAGAACGCACCCAUCACUAGUGAGAGAGACGUGUUACACAGAAUGCACCCAUCACUAGUGAGAGAGACGUGUUACACAGAACGCACCUAUCACUAGUGAGAGAGGCGUGUUACACAGAACGCACCCAUCACUAGUGAGAGAGGCGUGUUACACAGAAUGCACCCAUCACUAGUGAGAGAGGCGUGUUACACAGAAUGCACCCAUCACUAGUGAGAGAGGCGUGUUACACAGAAUGCACCCAUCACUAGUGAGAGAGGCGUGUUACACAGAAUGCACCCAUCACUAGUGAGAGAGACGUGUUACACAGAAUGCACCCAUCACUAGUGAGAGAGGCGUGUUACACAGAAUGCACCCAUCACUAGUGAGAGAGGCGUGUUACACAGAAAGCACCCAUCACUAGUGAGAGAGACGUGUUACACAGAAUGCACCCAUCACUAGUGAGAGACACGUGUUACACAGAAUGCACCCAUCACUAGUGAGAGACACGUGUUACACAGAACGCACCCAUCACUAGUGAGAGCGGCGUGUUACACAGAACGCACCCAUCACUAGUGAGAGAGGCGUGUUACACAGAAUGCAUGGUUCUAGAAACCAUUGAAACCCUGAAUACAAACCUGUCUGUCAUCACCUCUUAUACUUAGUUAAUAAUUAUAUAAUAAUUCUAAAUAUUAUAUUGUGGUAGUAUAAAUGUAAUUUGGUGCAGACGUCUUCUAGAAAGUGUUUUUGACCACAUUUGAAUUGUUUUGGAACAGCUAAAUGCAAACAAAUUUGAAUAGAAGCAGAUAUUUUAUAGAUUACUCCCCAAGCCUGUAUCCACAGUAAUGUAAAAUCUAGACAGUAAGUUAUAGUGCAAACCUCACUAGCUUGAGCUUUCUAUUCAGAGUGCACACCUAAACAACAGUCUUCACAGUCACUUGCAAUUACUUCUGACAUGAAGCUGCUUACAAAACCAAUUGUUGCUGUCAACUGUUUUAAUGACUUAUGACAUGACUGAGUGAGAGUGAUGGACAAGACCAAAGUGUAGACCAUGAUGGUAUCCUAGUCCUGUCAGAAUUAUAUAGCACGAGGGCAUUAUCGAUCAUAUCAGACAGCAGAUGGGAGACAUGACAGUGUGUGUGUGUGUGUGUGUGUGUGUGUGUGUGCAUCUGAGGAAAGGAGGAAGCCUUUAGGGGAAUCGUGGUUUAUGCCCUCGUAUUAUUAUUAUGACACGUUUGCACAAAGUAAAACCAACAGGCAUAGAUGCUACACAUUAGGAUCACACUUGUAGGAAAGAAUAAACAAAAGAAAAUGCACACUUACAGUAGAUGUG
ensembl:lncRNA